rnacentral:rRNA from 1 species
GGCCAGACUCCUACGGGAGGCAGCAGUGGGGAAUAUUGCACAAUGGGGGAAACCCUGAUGCAGCGACGCCGCGUGAGUGAAGAAGUAUUUCGGUAUGUAAAGCUCUAUCAGCAGGGAAGAAAAUGACGGUACCUGACUAAGAAGCCCCGGCUAACUACGUGCCAGCAGCCGCGGUAAUACGUAGGGGGCAAGCGUUAUCCGGAUUUACUGGGUGUAAAGGGAGCGUAGACGGCAUGGCAAGUCAGAUGUGAAAGCCCGGGGCUCAACCCCGGGACUGCAUUUGAAACUGUCAGGCUGGAGUGCAGGAGAGGUAAGUGGAAUUCCUAGUGUAGCGGUGAAAUGCGUAGAUAUUAGGAGGAACACCAGUGGCGAAGGCGGCUUACUGGACUGUAACUGACGUUGAGGCUCGAAAGCGUGGGGAGCAAACAGGAUUAGAUACCCCAGUAACA